rnacentral:rRNA from 1 species
AUUAACGCUAGCGGCAGGCAUAAUACAUGCAAGUUGAACGAGAUAAGUUGUAGCAAUACGGCUUUGAAAGUGGCGCACGGGUGCGUAACACGUAUGCAACCUACCUUUUACCGGGGAAUAGCCUCUCGAAAGAGAGAUUAAUACCCCAUAACAUAUAGUAUGGGCAUCUAUAUUAUAUUAAAGUUCAGGCGGUAAAAGAUGGGCAUGCGGUUGAUUAGUUAGUUGGUGAGGUAAUGGCUCACCAAGACUUCGAUCAAUAGGGGGUCUGAGAGGAUGUCCCCCCACACUGGUACUGAGACACGGACCAGACUCCUACGGGAGGCAGCAGUAGGGAAUAUUGGACAAUGGGCGCAAGCCUGAUCCAGCCAUGCCGCGUGCAGGAUGAAGGCCCUAUGGGUCGUAAACUGCUUUUGUACGGGAAGAAACCUUACUACGUGUAGUAAGCUGACGGUACCGUGAGAAUAAGGAUCGGCUAACUUCGU